GGGGAUGUGGCUCAGUGUUAGAGAACUUGCCCUAGAAAUGUGCAAGACUCUGGGAUCCAUCCCCAGUCCCCCCA
rnacentral:tRNA from 1 species